UACGUAGGUGGCAAGCGUUGUCCGGAAUUAUUGGGCGUAAAGGGUGCGUAGGCGGUUUGGUAAGUCUGAUGUGAAAUCUAUGGGCUCAACUCAUAGUCUGCAUCGGAAACUGCCGGGCUUGAGUAUGGGAGAGGUGAGUGGAAUUCCUGGUGUAGCGGUGAAAUGCGUAGAUAUCAGGAGGAACACCUGUGGCGAAAGCGGCUCACUGGACCAUAACUGACGCUGAUGCACGAAAGCUAGGGGAGCAAACAGG
rnacentral:rRNA from 1 species